GGACUGGUAGCUCAGUUGGAAGAGCGCCACUGUACUACACUGGAGGCCAUGGGUUCAAUCCCUGUCCAUGGGUUCA
rnacentral:tRNA from 1 species